rnacentral:rRNA from 1 species
AUUGAACGCUGGCGGCAGGCUUAACACAUGCAAGUCGAACGAGUGGCGGACGGGUGAGUAAUGCUUGGGAAUCUAGCUUAUGGAGGGGGAUAACUACUGGAAACGGUAGCUAAUACCGCAUACCAUCAGAUGAACCCAUAUGGGAUUAGCUUGUAGGUGAGGUAACGGCUCAACUAGGCGACGAUCCCUAGCUGGUCUGAGAGGAUGAUCAGCCACACUGGGACGGAGACACGGCCCAGACUCCUACGGGAGGCAGCAGUGGGGAAUAUUGCAUGAUGGGCGCAAGCCUGAUGCAGCCAUGCCGCGUGUGUGAAGAAGGCCUUCAGGUUGUAAAGUACUUUCAGUCGGGAGUCGUUAGCGACAGAAGAAGCACCGGCUAACUCCGUGCCAGCCGACGCGGUAAUUC